rnacentral:rRNA from 1 species
UACGUAGGGUGCGAGCGUUAAUCGGAAUUACUGGGCGUAAAGCGUGCGCAGGCGGUUCGUUAUGUCCGUUGUGAAAGCCCCGGGCUCAACCUGGGAAUGGCAAUGGAAACUGGCGGGCUAGAGUGUGGCAGAGGGGGGUGGAAUUCCGCGUGUAGCAGUGAAAUGCGUAGAUAUCAGGAGGAACACCGAUGGCGAAGGCAGGUCUCUGGGCAUUAACUGACGCUGAGGAGCGAAAGCAUGGGGAGCGAACAGG